GUGGGGAAUCUUGCGCAAUGGGCGAAAGCCUGACGCAGCCAUGCCGCGUGAAUGAUGAAGGUCUUAGGAUUGUAAAAUUCUUUCACCGGGGACGAUAAUGACGGUACCCGGAGAAGAAGCUCCGGCUAACUUCGUGCCAGCAGCCGCGGUAAUACGAAGGGGGCUAGCGUUGCUCGGAAUUACUGGGCGUAAAGGGCGCGUAGGCGGACAGCUUAGUCAGAGGUGAAAGCCCAGGGCUCAACCUUGGAAUUGCCUUUGAUACUGGCUGUCUUGAGUACGGGAGAGGUGAGUGGAACUCCGAGUGUAGAGGUGAAAUUCGUAGAUAUUCGGAAGAACACCAGUGGCGAAGGCGACUCACUGGCCCGUUACUGACGCUGAGGCGCGAAAGCGUGGGGAGCAAACAGGAUUAGAAACCCCGGUAGUCC
rnacentral:rRNA from 1 species